rnacentral:rRNA from 1 species
AAGGGAUAUUGCGCAAUGGGCGAAAGCCUGACGCAGCAACGCCGCGUGGAGGAUGAAGGGUUUCGGCUCGUAAACUCCUUUUGCGUGGGACGAGGAAGGACGGUACCACGUGAAUAAGUCACGGCUAACUACGUGCCAGCAGCCGCGGUAAAACGUAGGUGGCGAGCGUUAUCCGGAAUUACUGGGCGUAAAGCGUGUGCAGGCGGGCUGCCAAGUGGUGUAUGAAAUCUCCCGGCUUAACCGGGAUAGGUUAUGCCAGACUGGCAGUCUAGAGGCUGAGAGAGGAGCGUGGAAUUCCGGGUGUAGUGGUGAAAUGCGUAGAGAUCCGGAGGAACCCCAGAGGCGAAGGCGGCGCUCUGGCUCAGCCCUGACGCUCAGACACGACAGCAUGGGGAGCGAAC